GAUGAACGCUGGCGGCGUGCUUAACACAUGCAAGUCGAACGAUGAAGCCCAGCUUGCUGGGUGGAUUAGUGGCGAACGGGUGAGUAACACGUGAGAACCUGGCCUUGACCCUGGGGAUAGGCUGGGGAACCGGGUCUUAUUCUGGGUAUGACCUUCCAACCGAUUGUGGGGGGGGGGAAGGUUUAUUGGUCUUGGAUGGAACCGCGGCCUAUCAGCUUGUUGGUGAGGUAAUGGGUCACCAAGGCGACGACGGGUAGCCGGCCUGAGAGGGUGACCGGCCACACUGGGACUGAGACACGGCCCAGACUCCUACGGGAGGCAGCAGUGGGGAAUAUUGCACAAUGGGCGCAAGCCUGAUGCAGCGACGCCGCGUGAGGGAUGACGGCCUUCGGGUUGUAAACCUCUUUCAGUAGGGAAGAAGCGAGAGUGACGGUACCUGCAGAAGAAGCGCCGGCUAACUACGUG
rnacentral:rRNA from 1 species